UCUCACACCACACAAGUCUCCCCCUUCUUUCUAAGCAUGGCAGCUUGGGCCGCGCUGCGCCGCCUCCGCUCACCGCGGCUCCGCCUCGCCUCCACCUUCACCCACCACGGCGCCGCCGCCGUCUCCGCCACCGACGCGUUCAUCCAUGUCCAAGACCCGAACCGCCGCAUCGCGGAGCUGGCCGCCGCGGGGCGCGUCCCCGACGCCCGCAGGCUGUUCGACCGGACGCCGGACCGGGACGUGGUGUCCUGGACGGCGAUGGUCGCGGCGUACGCGCGCCAGGGCCAGCUCCACGAGGCCAGCGCGCUGUUCCACCGCCCCGACGCGCGCCGGAACGUGGUCACCUGGACGGCGCUCCUCUCCGGCUACGCGCGGGCGCGCCGCGCCGACGAGGCCAGGGCGCUGUUCGACCGGAUGCCCGAGAGGAACGUCGUGUCGUGGAACACGAUGCUGGAGGCCUACGCCUCCGCCGGCCGCACGGGGGCCGCGUGCGCGCUGUUCGACAGCAUGCCCGUGAGGGACGCCGGCUCCUGGAACAUCCUUCUGGCCGCGCUGGUGCGGUCUGGGACCAUGGACGAGGCACGGAACCUGUUUGAGAGAAUGCCCGAGAGGAAUGUGAUGUCGUGGACGACGAUGGUCGCCGGCCUUGCACGGAGCGGAAGCGUGGACGAGGCUCGAGCGCUGUUUGAUGGCAUGCCGGAGAGGAAUGUCGUUUCCUGGAAUGCCAUGAUCUCUGGAUACGCCCGGAACCUCAGGAUCGACGAAGCUCUUGAUUUGUUCAUGAAUAUGCCCGAGAGGGACGUGGCUUCUUGGAACAUCAUGAUCACCGGUUUUAUCCAGAACAAAGAUUUGAAGAAGGCACAAGAACUCUUUGACGAGAUGCCUAAACGGAAUGUAGUCAGCUGGACUACUAUGAUGAAUGGUUGCUUGCAAGGUAAUGAGAGUGAAAUGGCACUGCAGGUAUUUAACGGUAUGCUCGUUGAUGGGAUCAGACCAAACCAGGUGACGUUUUUGGGUGCGGUUGAUGCGUGCAGCAAUAUCGCCGGACUCAGCGAAGGGCAGCAGGUGCAUCAGAUGAUAUGCAAAACACCAUUUCAGUUUGAUAAUUUUAUCGAGUCCACACUCAUGAAUUUAUAUGCCAAAUGUGGCGAAAUUAGAUUGGCAAGGAAGGUGUUUGAUCUCUCAGGGGAGAAGGACGUAAUAUCUUGGAAUGGCAUUAUUGCAGCAUAUGCACAUCAUGGGGCUGGUGUAGAAGCUAUAGCUUUGUAUGAAAAGAUGCAAGAAAAUGGGUAUAAGCCUAAUGAUGUCACAUACGUGGGAUUGCUCUCAGCAUGUAGCCACUCUGGUUUGGUCGACGAAGGGCUUAGGAUAUUUGAAUACAUGGCAAAGGAUAAGUCCAUUGCAGUGCGGGAUGAGCAUUACACUUGCUUGAUUGAUCUCUGUAGCCGAGCCGGGCGACUUGAUGAUGCCAAAAGAUUAAUCAACGGUCUUAAACUUAAGCCUACAUCCAGUACUGUAUGGAGUGCGCUUCUAGGUGGGUGUAACGCACAUGGAAAUGAAAGCAUCGGUGAUUUGGCAGCAAGAAAUCUCUUAGAAGCAGAGCCUGAUAAUGCUGGAACCUACACUCUCUUGUCUAACAUUUAUGCUUCUGCUGGUAAGUGGAAAGAAGCAGCAAAGAUUCGGUCUCAGAUGAAUGAUCGAGGACUAAAGAAACAGCCGGGAUGUAGUUGGAUUGAGCUGGCAAAUAAGGUGCAUGUAUUUGUAGCACGUGACAAGUCCCACAGUGAGUCUGAGUUGAUUUAUAGUCUGCUGCAAGAUAUUCAUCACAUGAUGAGGAUGGCUGGCAGUGAUCCCAGGGACCACAUGCAGCUUAUGGAUGAGGAUCUGGUGGAUCUUCAAGCAUAAUUUGAGAUAUAAGAAAGUAAAGUUCCAGGAUUUUGUCAGAGGGAGGCAUUUUGCACCACUAAAUCAGACAAUUGGCGUACAUUGUAGAGUUUAGACCUAUGGUGUUGGUGUUACCCCAGGCUAAGUUGGUCCCCAUCUUCGGAGCAUUAUAACUAGCAAACACCUGGGCUCUUGUUUGUUCAGAGUUCUGUAGAAUGUCAAUAUAUUCUUGAAGCUGGGUGACAGUCAAGGACCUUGCAGAAGUCUUGACCUUUAUCUCUGGUGUUUGAAUCUGAUUUCUCUGGUUCACUGGCCGAGGCUUUGCCAUGUUGUGCUUGCUAUUCCAGGUUGCAGGCAAGAACUUUGGGAUCACUCUCCCAAAAGGCAAUUUGCCUUGUGAACUCUGCCAUGUAUGUAUGUACAGAGGAAUUUCCUUUUGGUGUUGGAAUGGGAGGAAUCAGGAAUGGACAGCGUAUACGGUUUAGAACACUCGGACGGUACUGCAAAACUGUUUGUGCACACAGUUGAGCCGAUGCAUCGUGCAUUGUAAACUGUAAUAACCUUUCUUUGAGAAGCAAGUCCAUUGUAAUAGGUGUCGUGCUCGUAUGAAAGGAUCUGGACGAAGUGGCGUGGCCAAGAACAGUUAUGCUGAUUUGGUUGCACCAGAUAUGCCUGAGAUUCUUGGCACUUACAGUAGAUGCAAACUGUCGGGAUGGGGUUUUUUCUUUCGGGAAAAAAUUGUUGGGAUGAGUUAUAAGCAUCUUCAAUGGGAAAUCAAUGAGUUAUUGCUAACAAUGAACUCUCUUUUUUUUUCUGUUUGAGAAUGAACUCUGAUUGUUGGGGUAACCAGUUUUUUUGUACAUUCUGAGGC